UACAGACAGCUAUGAGGAGUGCCAGGGUGCUCUGAGGCUUGGCUGGUGGAUCACAAUGGAGAAUUCAGGCUAGUGAUCUUGACUCAGCUGAAUCGUCUUGAGGUGUUUUCAAUGUUUAUCCUUGUCGAAUAUCCUUCUUCUGCAAUGGCUAAGUGCUGCAAAGAAUGAAUCAUCUGUCAGAGGAGAAGAGUGCAGUGAGUGUCCUAGCUCUAGAGAAGUUCUCUAGCCAUCUGGCUCCCCUUCUCUGCCCCAUUUGUUCCCAAUGUGGGCUGCCAUCUUGCAGACUGGACUCCUGAAUAAAAGCAAGUCACUAAUAAAUGAAUGAGAUCCUUCUCAAGUCAACAGUCA